AUUCCUCAGCCUUACUCCGGGGGCUUUUGUGCCGUAAAGCGCCCUGGCAUUGCCUGAGGAUAGACGAGGAAGCACACGUCCCUCCCCAGCAAGACUCCGCUUUCUUUUGGGGCCUGCAGGUGGAGCUGACAGU
rnacentral:snoRNA from 12 species